rnacentral:rRNA from 1 species
UACGGGGGGGGCAAGCGUUGUUCGGAAUUACUGGGCGUAAAGGGCUCGUAGGCGGCCAACUAAGUCGGAUGUGAAAUCCCCAAGCUUAACUUGGGAACUGCAUCCGAUACUGGAUGGCUUGAAUUCGGGAGAGGGAUGCGGAAUUCCAGGUGUAGCGGUGAAAUGACGUAGAUAUCUGGAGGAACACCGGUGGCGAAGGCGGCAUCCUGGACCGAGAUUGACGCUGAUGCGCGAAAGCCAGGGGAGCAAACGGGG